CCUACGGGAGGCUGCAGCGGGGAAUAUUGGACAAUGGGGGCAACCCUGAUCCAGCCAUGCCGCGUGUGUGAAGAAGGCCCUCGGGUUGUAAAGCACUUUCAGUGAGGAAGAACGCCUGGUGGUUAAUACCCAUCAGGAAAGACAUCACUCACAGAAGAAGCACCGGCUAACUCCGUGCCAGCAGCCGCGGUAAUACGGAGGGUGCGAGCGUUAAUCGGAAUUACUGGGCGUAAAGCGCGCGUAGGUGGCUUGAUAAGCCGGUUGUGAAAGCCCCGGGCUCAACCUGGGAACGGCAUCCGGAACUGUCAAGCUAGAGUGCAGGAGAGGAAGGUAGAAUUCCCGGUGUAGCGGUGAAAUGCGUAGAGAUCGGGAGGAAUACCAGUGGCGAAGGCGGCCUUCUGGACUGACACUGACACUGAGGUGCGAAAGCGUGGGUAGCAAACAGGAUUAGAUACCCCUGUAGUC
rnacentral:rRNA from 1 species